GCGGCGUAGGCCGGGCAUUGAUCCCGAGUUUUGCACGCUAUACAUUGCGGGUUUGAUACUAAACUAAAAAUUCUAAAUCACAAUAACUACAAAUAUAAGGCAAAUGGUUAUUGGUAUCGGAUUGUGAUUAGGUAGUAUAAUAAAAGCGCUAAGUUUUUGCUAGCGUUCUAAUUACACUCAGUAUAAUAAUGGUAUGUAUGUAU